CCCAUACUCCCUCCGUCCCAUAUUAAGUGACUCAAGUUUGACCAAAUAUGGAUGUAUCUACACCGAAAAAGUGUCUAGAUACAUGUAAUAUUUCGUCACUUAAUAUGGGACGGAGAGAGUAUCUA
rfam:Brachypodium distachyon strain Bd21 chromosome 1, whole genome shotgun sequence.